rnacentral:rRNA from 1 species
AGGACGAACGCUGGCGGCAUGCCUAACACAUGCAAAGUCGAACGAGAGUAGCAAUACUCGAGUGGCAACGGGUGAGUAACACGUGAGCAACCUGCCUUACACAACGGGAUACCUACUGGAAACAGUAGUUAAUACGGUAUAAGACCACAGUACCGCAUGGUACAGUGGUAAAAGAUUUAUCGGUGUAAGAUGGGCUCGCGGCGCAUUAGCUAGUUGGUGAGGUAACGGCUCACCAAGGCGACGAUGCGUAGCCGACCUGAGAGGGUGAUCGGCCACAUUGGGACUGAGAUACGGCCCAGACUCCUACGGGAGGCAGCAGUGGGAAUAUUGGGCAAUGGAGGAAACUCCUUACCCAGCAAUGCCGCGUGAACGAAGAAGGUCGUAAGAUUGUAAAGUUCUUUAGUCAGGGAUUAAUAAAUGAAAGAUCUGAAGAAUAAGCUCCGGCUAACUACGUGCCAGCCGCGGC